UAGCUUUGGCAGCACAUAUACUAAAAUUGGAACGAUACAGAGAAGAUUAGCAUGGCCCCUGUGCAAGGAUGACACCCAAAAAAAAAGAAGGAAGGAAGGAAAGAUAGAUAU
rfam:Myotis brandtii contig165468, whole genome shotgun sequence.